AGCAGCAUGGCGCAGUUAGGGAGCGCGCGGGGCUCAUAACCCCGAGGUCACUCGAUCGAAACGAGUUGCUGCUA